UAUAUUUGUCGCCGAAUUGGUUCGGAAUCCGUGGUCAACGGACGAAGAUUAAAAGGGAAUCGGGUGUAAAUCCCGGACAGUCCCGCUGCUGUGAAACUCUGUAUAGCAUCUUAUCAAUCAGCCAAUUUCGUACCACUGACAGAAAAAGCAAACUCUGUCGGGAAGGUCCCGGUAAGAUGUAGAGUCAGUCAGAAGACCUGCCAUUCGUGAAUAAGAGCAU
rnacentral:ncRNA from 19 species